rnacentral:rRNA from 1 species
CGGAAGUCCAAGGUUUCCUGGGCCAGGGUAAUCCUCCCAGGGUUAGUCGGUACCUAAGGUGAGGCCGAAAGGCGUAAUCGAUGGAAAACUGAUUAAUAUUUCAGUACCACGUGUGUGGAGUGAUGCAGGGGUAGAGGAAGAUAGUAACGCUGGGCGUCGGUUGUCCCAGUGCAAGGUCGUAGGGAGAUCGCUUAGUCAAGUACGGGUGGUUAAUUCUGAGAACUGAUGCGGAGCCCUCACGGGCGGAAGGUUAUGAUUCUAUGCUCGCAAGAAAA